GCAAAUUCUGCCACCCAUCUUCAAAGGCAGCGAGAGGUAGGGUUUCCAGGAGUUGCUGAUGCUGCUAGCCCAGGGGAAACACUGAGAGCCACUCCUCUCCAGUCACUUAGGAAGAAGAUGUCCAGGCAUCUUUACAUAUAACAAUAUUUUGCAUCAAAGAUUUUCAAAGAAUUUCACCAUUUGCACGUGUCAUACACUAGAAUGCAUUAGACAGUACAGAGGAUCAGCU